rnacentral:lncRNA from 1 species
AGAUAUGGGGGUCCAAGGGGGUCCCAGGGGUGAUAUGAGGGUCCCAGGGGGGUCCUAGGAGCAAUAUGAGGGUCCCAAGGGUGAUAUGGGGGUCCCAGGGGGUCCCAGGGGGGGAUAUGGGGGUCCUGAUAUGGGGGUCCCAUGGCGGUCCCAGGGGGGAUAUGGGGGUCCCAAGGGUGAUAUGGGGGUCCCAGGGCUUAUGUGGGGGUCCUAGGGUUGAUAUGGGGGUCCCAGGGGGGAUAUGGGGGUCUCAGGUGGGUCCCAGGGGUGCUGUUAUGGGGGUCCCAGGGGGUCCCAGGGGUGCUGAUAUGGGGGUCCCAGGGGGGGAUAUGGGGUCCCAGGGGGGUCCCAGGGUGAUAUGAGGUCCCAAGGGGGUCCUAGGAAGCAAUAUGAGGGUCCCAAGGGUUGAUUAUGGGGGUCCCA